CUUUUCCACUUAUAAAAGUUAACGUUAAGGUUCCUCAUGGUUAGAGACAAAUGCAAUCGCAUGGCAGGAUGCUGUAAAAGGACCAAUCUUCAGUCAGGAGAACAACUGAGAUAAUCCGUCCACAAUACGAGAUGCUGCCAACACCUCCCUUUCCUUGUGAAGGUGCAUGAGAAACCCUGGAUUAACUUUGCUAACCAGCGGUUAUCCUGAUCACGACUGUUAGUGGGUGAUUCUCAAGUCUGUUGGAGCCCAGGCAAAAAGGGACAAGGACACCUGACAGCCCAGUGUGCCCAGCAGAGCUGACAUGAGGGCUGUUUCAACUGAAUCACACACUCUGCUUGCCAGAGGUGAUCCAGGUGUUUUGUUUGUUUUUCUUUUUGUUCCUUCCCCCCUUUCUCAUCAUCUCUUCUCCCCUCUGUUUUUCUUUCUCUCCCUCUUUCUUUCAUUCUUUCCUUCUCCCUGUCCUUUCCCCCAGUCAUGUCUGUCCCGUCUGUAACAACUGAUAAUAAAAUAAAAUAAAUAAACAAUUAUAAUAAAGGUCAAUCAAAUGGACCAACAUGGCAUCUUUCUCGGCCUUCAAACAACAAUUCUGAUGGCUAAAGAUCCAAAUGGGACAGGCAAAAAAUAUAAAUGAUGAUAACCAUGUGCAGCUUCUCUCGUCUUCCAUUUUUCCCUGAUAUGUUUCACUCUAAAUCAGACACGUGUUAAAGUGUGUUGGCUGCAUGUUAAGGUCAAAAUGCUGAUGAGCUCUGAUCCAGUUGACUGAUAUACUCUGCUCUACAUCCUGCACUGAAAUAUGAGGAUUGUGUGUUUAUUAAAAUUAAAAAUCAUCAUGGAGUCAUUCACAGAAGAGCAUCAAUGUUCAGCCUGUUAAAUUAGAUUUAAAUAUUUUUAUUUCAGAAAUGAUUCCUAACAAAAAUGGAGAAUAUAAAAACACAAUCAAAGCAGUAAAGUCCAUAUUAUGAAGUGUUUGCUGUAUCAGACAAUCAUGUUUAUUCACAACAAUGAAAACAAUAUAGUGCAGAUAAACAUGGUGCUGUAAUGAAUCUGCUCUUAAACACAAUAACAAAAUACAUUUUCCAAGAGAGAUGAUAAUGAUUCACAUCAGAGUGAAGAACGAAUACAUUUACAACUGGUUUCUAACAUUUCUUAUAGAUCGAACUGAUCACUGAUAGAAACAGAAGAAUAUUCAAAAUGAUACUCUGAGAGAUACAUGAAUGAGAUAUGAAUAAACAUCAAAUCACAUAAAACAAAAAGCACAAAAUCAUUAAAGCUGAAAUAAAAUAUGAGCAGAAAUAUAGAAGAAUUAAGUCGAAAGAUAGAAAAAGGCAAAAUGUUUAAAAUAUAUAAUCACAUAAGAGACUGAACCGUCCAGUCAGGUCACAGAUUCAUAUCUACAAUAAUAUUUUUGUUUGUUUUUGUUUUGAUUUCUUCACUUCUAUGUAUUAUUAUUUAUUUAUUUAUUUAUUUAUUUAUUAUCAUUAUAAAUGCUGAUAAGCAUAUUAAGUGUGUGUCUGAGCUGAAAGCUGCUCUUCUCUCCUGGUUUUCUGUGUCACACAGACCACAACAACACAAAGCAUCACCUGCAGACCGCUGAGCAGUAUCCACCUGACUCUGUAGAAGGUCGAGUAAACCCCAAAAGGCUCUCUGUAGAUCAGAACUGUUUUUUCUCCUGACACACACUCAUACUCUGACUUAAAACCUGCACACAUAUACUCUCCUGCAUCUUCCAGUGAGACAUUAGAGAUUAUCAGGCUGUCAUGGGAACAAGUGAUUCUUUUGUCACUGCAGAACUCAUCAUCGUACACAAUUUUGCCUUCUGUUUGGAUCGACUUCAUGAGCCAAAAGCCCGAAGUACUAUUUUCCCAAUCAUCAGAGCAUCUCAUAGUGACUUCAUCUCCCUCUGA
ensembl:lncRNA